UACGGAGGGCGCAAGCGUUGUUCGGAAUCACUGGGCGUAAAGCGCGUGUAGGCGGCCGGGCAAGUCGGGAGUGAAAUCCCGAGGCUCAACCUCGGAACUGCACUCGAAACUGCUCGGCUCGAGUCUCGGAGAGGAUGGUGGAAUUCCCGGUGUAGGGGUGAAAUCCGUAGAUAUCGGGAGGAACACCAGCGGCGAAGGCGGCCAUCUGGACGGUUACUGACGCUCAGACGCGAAAGCGUGGGGAGCAAAAAGG
rnacentral:rRNA from 1 species